GCCUUCUCUUCCAGCUAGUGGUAACCAGUAAACAGCAACAGAAAUCUGUUGUUGGGGCUUCUGGGAAAGCUUUGCCUUCCUGAUGCAGAGGCAGAUGUCCCGCCACCGCCGUUUCUUCCUUCCUCUUGGCUCGAAUGCAGAUGUGACACCAGAUAUAGAGGCAGCUGUUUUGCCACCAUGAGAGAAGGGCCAAGAGAACUGCAGAGACACUGGCCCUGACACAUUGAGCCACUGAACCAAUCCUCAGCCUCCCACAUUUAGACCUUUG
rnacentral:lncRNA from 10 species